AUUGAACGCUGGCGGCAGGCCUAACACAUGCAAGUCGAGCGGAUGAAGGGAGCUUGCUCCUGGAUUCAGCGGCGGACGGGUGAGUAAUGCCUAGGAAUCUGCCUGGUAGUGGGGGAUAACGUCCGGAAACGGGCGCUAAUACCGCAUACGUCCUGCGGGAGAAAGUGGGGGAUCCUCGGACCUCACGCUAUCAGAUGAGCCUAGGUCGGAUUAGCUAGUUGGUGGGGUAAAGGCCUACCAAGGCGACGAUCCGUAACUGGUCUGAGAGGAUGAUCAGUCACACUGGAACUGAGACACGGUCCAGACUCCUACGGGAGGCAGCAGUGGGGAAUGUUGGACAGUGGGCGAAAGCCUGGUCCAGCGAUGGCGCGUGUGUGAAGAAGGUCUUCGGAUUGUAAAGCAGUUUAAGGUGGGAGGAAGGGCAGUAAGUUAAUACCUUGCUGUUUUGACGUUACCAGCAGAAGAAGCACCGGCUAACUUCGUG
rnacentral:rRNA from 1 species